ACGGCCGCGGGCGCACUUAAAGGGCCGAUACGGCAAAGGGCUGCUCAAGGACCUGCCCGAGGCCUGAGAGCGCCGCUGACCCGCUGGGCGAUGGCGGGAGCUGACACGAGUGAGGACCGCGCCGCGGCGGGAAGCUUGACCCGGAAAGCGGGACCGGAGAAAUGACGGCAGGAGAGGAGAUCUGUCCUCACUGUUCCUGAGAACUGUAUAUAGCUUCAAUGAACAAUAAAGCAGUGAAAACAAGACACUACUUCAAAGUCUGUGCCCUUCCAGCUUCCAAAUACGAGAGUCCUGAAAGUUGUCUACACCUACAGGAGGAGCAGGACAGAAUAAUGAAUGGGGCCAGGAUAUUUCAUAAAACAAAAUUUUGUAUAACUGAAAGCCUCUCCCUGUGACUACUUCCUUGUCUUUACAAAAAGAAAAAGAAGACUAGAAUAGAAUGGAAUCCCCGCGUCCAGCUCAAGCUGUCACAGUUUUGGGGUAAAGUAUUUCUCUCAACAUGAGAAGAUACCUGUGUACUGGAGCCACGAAUGAGAUGAUCUUCAGAGGCGAUGACAACAUCGAUCAUGGUAUUUAUUAACAUGGAUUCAUUUUUCAUGUAUGCGUCAUAAUCAAAGCUCCAACAUCUGAGUGUCACUUACCCGAGCUUCCUGGUCACCCUGAGCUGCGUCAGCAUCAGGGGCGCUGUUCGUUAGCCUGCAACAGAACAUAAGUGCCAGGAUCGAUUCUGUGCAUUUUCAGGCAAAAGAGAAAUGGCUCCGGCUGAAGGCACAAGGCAUUUCUCUUAGGAAACGUUUUUAUAAAGAUCACAACAAUUGUACAGCUCUCCCGCCGUCCUGCUUUGGGGGGCACUCUGUGUCCCUUCCCAGUGACCUGACGCUGCACCCGGUUCCAGGCCGGGUUCCCCUUCCCACUCUUACCCAGCAUGAGACUCGCUGCCCCGAGGCUGUGCAGCU